rnacentral:rRNA from 1 species
GACGAACGCUGGCGGCGUGCUUAACACAUGCAAGUCGUACGGUAAGGCCCUUUCGGGGGUACACGAGUGGCGAACGGGUGAGUAACACGUGAGUAACCUGCCCACAAAUUUGGGAUAACGCUAGGAAACUGGUGCUAAUACUGGAUAUGUGCUCCUGCUGCAUGGUGGGGGUUGGAAAGCUCCGGCGGUUGUGGAUGGACUCGCGGCCUAUCAGCUUGUUGGUGGGGUAGUGGCCUACCAAGGCGGCGACGGGUAGCCGGCCUGAGAGGGUGACCGGCCACAUUGGGACUGAGAUACGGCCCAGACUCCUACGGGAGGCAGCAGUGGGGAAUAUUGCACAAUGGGCGCAAGCCUGAUGCAGCAACGCCGCGUGCGGGAUGACGGCCUUCGGGUUGUAAACCGCUUUCAGCAGGGACGAAGCUUUUUGUGACGGUACCUGCAGAAGAAGCACCGGCUAACUACGUG